rnacentral:lncRNA from 1 species
UUUUUAAAAAGCGUCAUGCCCUAGUCUGAUGCAGCCCCCGCACCAGGCCCUAUAUGGGAGCAAGGUGAGCAAGGGCUCAGGGGAAGCCACUCCCCUCCCCUUGGUCUGCUACAAAUUGCCCAGGUCCUGCCCUCAGACUCCUAGCAGUUGAAAAUUGUUGAACUUGGUUGCUCCAACGAGCUUCUUCCAGAUCUUCAGUGUAAUAGACACAGCCAAUCUGGAUUGAGGACUGGAGUCUACACCGCCGUGAACCACUGGAGUUGUCAGAUGAAGGUGGCAGAAUGGAGAGAAGUAUCAGGCAUAAGCUACAGUCAUAUAAACCUUGAUACAGAUGUGAAUUGACGAUGUCAAUGUUUUGAAGAGUUAGAGGAGCCCAAACCCUGAGGAUUCUUAAUGUAUGUUGGACACCAUUCACUGUGCCAAUAUUAGAGAAUGACAACCACUUGAAGACCGUUAGUAAUAUCUUUUAUCUUAUUAUUUUACUGGUAAAAUUUGCUUCCCCU